UAAUGGGUCAGCGACUUAUAUUCUGUAGCAAGGUUAACCGUAUAGGGGAGCCGAAGGGAAACCGAGUCUUAACUGGGCGUUAAGUUGCAGGGUAUAGACCCGAAACCCGGUGAUCUAGCCAUGGGCAGGUUGAAGGUUGGGUAACACUAACUGGAGGACCGAACCGACUAAUGUUGAAAAAUUAGCGGAUGACCUGUGGCUGGGGGUGAAAGGCCAAUCAAACCGGGAGAUAGCUGGUUCUCCCCGAAAGCU
rnacentral:rRNA from 1 species